rnacentral:lncRNA from 1 species
AUGGUUUGAUUAUUCACAGUCUCUCACCAAAUGAGACCUGUGUCCAGGGUACUAGCUUCUCCUGUCACUUGGGCUUAUGCUAAAGAUGUGAAAUUUGGUGUAGAAGCCCGAGCCUUAAUGCUUCAAGUUAUAUGACUUUAAGCCUAUGCUCUAGCUGUUACAAUGGAGCCAAAGAGAAGAAUAGUGAUUAUUGAAGAGAGUUGGGGAAGACCUAAAGUAACAAAAGAUGGAGUGAUUGUGGCACACUCAAUUAACUUAGAAGAUAAAUAUGAAAAUAUUGGAGCUAAACCUGUUCAAGAUGUUUCCAAUAACAGAAUUGAAGAGGUUGAGGAUUGCACCACCACUGCUACUGUACUGGCAUGCCCUAUUGUCAAAGAAAGAGAAAAAUUAGCAAAAGUGCUAAUUCAGCGGAAAUCAGGAGACGUAUUAUGUUAGCUAUUGAUUCUGUAAUUGCUGAACUUAAGAAUCAGUCUAAACCAGUGACAACUCUUGAAGAAACUGCUCAAGAUGCUACAAUUUCUGCAAACAGAGAGAAAGAAAUUGGCAACAUAUUUCUUAUACAGUGAAUAAUGCUGGAAGAAAGGGUGUCAUUACAGUAAAUAAUGGAAAAACAUUGAAUGAUGAACUAGAAAUUAUGGAAGGCAUGAAGUUUGAUCAAGGCUAUAUUUCUCCAUACUUUAUUAAUACAUCAAAGGUGUAUUUUACUGUGAAUAAUAGUAUGUGAAUUUCAGUAUGUGUAUGUUCUAUUGAGUGAAAAGGAAAUUUCCAGUGUCCAGUCCAUUAUACCUGGUCUUUAAAUUGCCAGUGGUCAAACCCUUGGUCAUAACUGCUGAAAAUGUUUUGAACAGUAUAAAAGUUGGUCUCUAGGCUGUAACUGUCAAAGCUCCAGGUUUUGGUGACAAUUGAAAGAACAAGCUUAAAGAUAAGACUACUGCUAUUAGUGGUGAAGUGUUUGAACAAGAGGGGUUCACCCUAAAUCUGGAAGUUGUUGAGCCUCAUGACUUAGAAGAAAUUGGAGAGGUCAUUGCGACAGAAGAUGAUGCUAUGCUCUUAAAAGGCAAUUAUGGCAAGGCUCAAAUUGAAAAGUGUAUUCAAGACACUCAGCCAGUUAGAUGUCACAAC